rnacentral:rRNA from 1 species
UACGUAGGGUGCAAGCGUUGUCCGGAAUUAUUGGGCGUAAAGAGCUCGUAGGCGGUUAGUCGCGUCUGCUGUGAAAACUCGGGGCUUAACCCUGGACCUGCAGUGGGUACGGGCAGGACUAGAGUGCGGUAGGGGAGAUCGGAAUUCCUGGUGUAGCGGUGAAAUGCGCAGAUAUCAGGAGGAACACCGGUGGCGAAGGCGGCAUCCUGGACCAAUUCUGACGCUGGAGGAGCGAAAGCCAGGGGAGCAAACGGG